UUUAAAUGAAACUUUCAUAGCAACACUUUCUUCCAAUGGAUGUUCAUUGGUAGAACACAUACGUUUUCUUUCCUCUUCAAGCAAACGAUUUUUGACAAAGUCCAUUUCAAGACUAUCCGGGUUCAAUCUUUCAAUUGCUGUUAUCACGUUGUUGUAAGAUUCCGGCAAAGUAAGAAGUAGCAAACAAAUGGUAUCCAACUUUUCCAACGUAGCUCCCGACGAUAUCAGUUGUCGAACAAGUUCUGUGAAAUCUUUCUGUAUCAGUUUCAACAGAUCGUGUUCGUUCAAACCCGUUUCCAAUCUAAACUUCCAACUAUCGUAAUUCCGACCCUCGAACAAAUGCAGUGCGAAUAUCUCUUCCGCCAUAUCUGGGCCCAUAACCAGAUAACUUUCAACAAAUUAAAAUGUUUAGGGUAAUACAAGAAAAUGUUUUGUUGAAGAAAAAGUUUUGUACGAUUGACAAGAAAAAAUUAUGCUUAUAAUAUACAUUCAAGAACAAAGAACAAAAUUAAAAAGAAAGAACAAAAUUAAAUUAAAAUGUAAAAACAAACUAACCGUCGAUAUUUCCCCAGGCAAGUGUUCAACAACAACUGCUGACUCGUCUCCUGAUUCCCAACCAACCGCUUCUAUAAACCUUCAGUUUCAACUUGUUGAAUCCGUAGGAUACACUCCUUCCGACGUGUUGAGGUCUGCGAGACAGCCGGAGUUUAGUACGAGUACUGCAUGUCUCCGCUCAUCAUCAGCCCUAUCAAGGCUGUUAUAUAAGACUAUCAAGGAGUGUGUUCACCGUUGUGGAAAAAUGGGUUGGGUUGGUGUCAUUCGUAGCAACAAGGCCAAGUGAAAACAUGUUGUCCACCAACGAAGGAUCAACCAGUGAAUUUAAGUCCCCAUUGAUAAUGACAUCACAACGUAACAUUCCCUAAUAUCUCGCUAAGAUGGGAUUUCAAUUUAAUAAAUAUAUGUUCUAUCUGGACACCAAUAAAGGACCUUAUAUGAAACUUUGCA